rnacentral:lncRNA from 1 species
UGAGGGUCGGCAGAGUGCACAGAGGGUGUUCUCUUCAGUUAUUUGAUGAGCAGUUUUCAGUGGAUCUGGUACCUAUUCCCCUGCGAGGGAAUAAGGUUAUUGUGGGUAUGGAUUGGCUAAGCCCCAAUGGGGCGGUGAUUGAUUGUGAGCUUCAGCUAGUGAGGGUUCGCACUCCCAGUGGGGGAGAGUUGGUGAUUCAGGGCGAGAGGCCACAGCGAGGACCGACCUUUUGUUCCGCCGCAAGGGCGAGGCGCUAUGUUCAGCAGGGUUGCGCCGGUUUUGUAGCUUACGUUUUGGAUGCCCGGGAGAAGGGCAAGUCGACAGUGGAUGAUGUUCCUAUUGUUCGAGACUACCCGGACGUGUUUCCUGAGGAUUUGCCGGGGAUACCUCCUGAGAGACAGGUUGAGUUCAGGAUCGACCUCAUUCCUGGUGCGGCUCCGAUAGCCAAGGCACCGUAUCGACUAGCUCCCCCUGAGAUGCAGGAGUUGUCUACACAGCUGCAGGAGCUGUUAGACAAGGGUUUCAUUCGGCCGAGCAGUUCGCCUUGGGGAGCGCCGAUCCUGUUUGUGAGAAAGAAGGAUGGGUCGCAUCGUAUGUGUAUUGAUUAUCGGGAGUUGAAUAAGGUAACGGUGAAGAACCGUUACCCACUCCCGAGGAUAGAUGAUUUGUUUGAUCAGCUUCAGGGAGCGUCUUGGUUCUCCAAGAUCGAUCUACGCUCCGGAUAUCAUCAGAUGCGGGUUAGAGAUGAGGAUGUACAGAAGACUGCUUUCAGGACCAGGUAUGGUCAUUACGAGUUUGUGGUGAUGCCAUUUGGGCUCACCAAUGCUCCAGCCGCGUUCAUGGAUCUCAUGAACCGCGUGUGUAGGCCGAUGCUGGAUCGGUCAGUGAUAGUGUUCAUAGAUGACAUCUUGGUAUAUUCCAAGACGCAGGAGCAGCACGAGGAGCACCUGCGGGAGGUGCUGGAGGUUUUGAGGAGGGAGAGACUUUUCGCAAAGUUCUCCAAAUGUGAGUUCUGGUUGCGCGAGGUGCAGUUCCUUGGUCACCUCGUCAACCAGAAGGGUAUUCUGGUAGAUCCGGCCAAGAUAGAGGCCGUGAUGCAGUGGGAGGUCCCGAAGUCUCCAUCUGAGAUUCGGAGCUUCCUAGGGUUGGCAGGGUAUUAUCGGAGAUUUAUUCAGGAUUUCUCCAAGAUAGCAGUGCCGCUCACCCGACUGACCAAGAAGUCAGUGGUAUUUCGUUGGGGUCCGGAGCAGCAGACAGCAUUCGAGACCCUCAGGCAGAGAUUGUGCGAGGCUCCGAUCCUUACCUUGCCAGAGGGAGUAGAGGACUUUGUAGUCUAUUGUGAUGCCUCGAUCACAGGUUUGGGAGCAGUUCUGAUGCAGCGAGGCCAUGUGAUAGCUUAUGCCUCGAGACAGUUGAAGCCUCACGAGGCUAAUUAUCCUACCCAUGAUUUGGAGCUGGGGGCAGUUGUGUUUGCCCUCAAGAUUUGGAGGCAUUACCUUUAUGGGGUCCGUUGUACUAUUUACACGGAUCACAAGAGUUUGAGGUACCUUAUGGAUCAGCCGAGUCUGAACAUGAGGCAGAGGAGGUGGUUGGAUGUGCUAAAGGAUUACGACUGUGAGAUCCUUUACCAUCCAGGGAAGGCCAACGUGGUGGCCGAUGCCCUGAGCCGCAAAGUGUCGGCGGCCCCUAUCAGAGAUCUAUGUUUGAGGAUGACAGUGAUCACUCCGUUGUUGGAGCGGAUCAAGGAGGCUCAGGUGGAGGGUCUCAAGGAGGAGAGACAGAAGUGUGAGAGGAUCGUGGGCCGAGUAGCCUCGUUUGAUUAUGAUAGUCGUGGUUUGCUGACGCUUCACGGGAGAGUGUGGGUACCGUACUGGGGUGGAGUACGGCAAGUGUUGAUGGAUGAGGCUCAUAAGUCUCGGUUUUCUAUCCACCCAGGGGCGACGAAGAUGUAUCGAGAUCUUCGACCUGAUUAUUGGUGGCCCUGCAUGAAGCGGGACGUCGCCUGGUACGUCGAGAGAUGCCUGACCUGCCGGAAGGUCAAGGCGGAGCACCAGAGACCUCACGGCAGGAUGCAGCCGUUAGACAUUCCCGUGUGGAAAUGGGAGGACAUCACCAUGGAUUUUGUCACCAAGCUUCCCAGGACCGCACGAGGAGUGGAUUCGAUAUGGGUAGUAGUGGAUCGGUUGACGAAGAGUGCCCAUUUUAUCCCGAUCCAGGAGAGUAUAUCGGCGGAGAAGUUAGCCGAUAUCUAUGUGCGAGAGAUUGUGGCACGUCAUGGAGUGCCGGUAUCGGUGGUGUCAGACCGAGAUGUCCGUUUCACAUCCAGAUUCUGGAAGCGGUUCCACGACGAGAUGGGUACUCGUCUCCAUUUCAGCACCGCUUUCCACCCUCAGACAGACGGGCAGAGCGAGAGGACGAUUCAGACUCUCGAGGACAUGCUUAGGGCAUGUGUCCUAGAUUUCGGUGGCAGUUGGGAUACGUAUCUUCCGUUAGCGGAAUUCUCGUAUAACAACAGUUAUCAUGCGAGCAUUGAUCGACCUCCCUUUGAGAUGCUGUAUGGGAGGAAGUGUAGGACCCCGAUUUGUUGGGGCGAGGUCGGUCAGCGGGUCAUCGGGAGCACGGAGGUGGUGCUCAAGACGACUGAGUUGAUCCAGCAGGUCCGUAGUAGACUGCAGACUGCUCAGAGUCGGCAGAAGAGCUACGCCGAUAGGAGGCGUUCGGACUUGGAGUUCCAGGUGGGGGAUAUGGUCCUUCUGAAGGUCUCACCUUGGAAGGGUGUCAUCAGGUUCCGGAAGAGGGGCAAGUUGGGCCCCAGAUUUAUUGGUCCUUUCAGGGUUUUGGCCCGGGUGGGUCGGGUUGCUUAUCGGUUAGAUCUUCCUGAGGAGCUUAGUCAGAUCCACAACACUUUCCAUGUGUCUCAGUUGAGGAAGUGUUUGGUGGAUGAGUCAGCAGUCGUUCCCCUAGAGGAUAUUCAGGUUGAUAGCAGCCUGAAUUAUAUUGAGAGGCCGGUCGCGAUUCUGGACCGGAAGACCAAGACCUUGAGGAACAAGGAAAUUCAGUUAGUGAAGGUGCAGUGGCAGCACCGGAAGGGGUCUGAGUGGACGUGGGAGGCUGAGGAGGAGAUGAGAGAGCACUACCCAGAGAUAUUUGCAGAUUCAGCCGUAGCAGACUUCGAGGACGAAGUCUGAGAUAAGUGGGGGAGAAUUGUAACGACCCGUCUCCGGUAUGAUAAUUCCUUGGUAUUUAUUUUGAAGUUUUGCAAGAGGGACUCGGCGAGUUCAUAGCCUGACUCGCCGAGUAGGGUCGGGAUUUCGAGCACGUGUUAGCUGGCGACUCGGCGAGUCCAUAUUCUGGACUCGGCGAGUCUGUCCGUCUGGGAGAAACCCUAAAUCCCCGGGUUGCCCACUAUUUAAGCCACCUUAUAGCCCCCAAUCUCGCCUCCUUCACCCUCAAAAGCUGUGAGAAAACCCUAAUUCGUUCUUGAGUGAUUCUAAGUGAUUUUGUGUGCUAUUGUGAAGGCUUGAAGAAGGAGAAGAAGAAAGGAGCAAGGAGAAGGAUUGUAGAGCAGAGAUUCAAGGGAAAGCAAGAGCUCUUUGAGGUAUUCUUCAGUUUUCCUUCUCUUUUAUGCCUUAAAACCCUUUCUAGAUCUUGUUAAUGCCUUUCUCAAAGCCUUAUGUUGAUAUGGAAGCUCUCUUAUGCCGAGAUAACCUUAGAUCUGUUCAUUUAGGAGUUGUAGAGCCCAGAUCUAUUGCCUUUAUGGAGCUAUUUUGCAUAUUAACCCUAGAUCUACCCCUUUUAAGCAUCUUUUAGCCUUUAUUCCCUUGUUCAUGUGUUUGUACACGUAAAGUUGGAAACUUUACGUGGUAAAUCAGCUUAUUGGACUCAGAUCUAUCAUUUGUAUGUAUUGGAUUCGAGCAGAAUCGAGUGUAGAAUAGUUGCAUGGCGGUGACUCGGCGAGUCGGAAGAACGACUCAGCGAGUCGAGUCGCGAGUCCCCGAUUUCUUCCUUUUGAGCGGUGUCGAGUGGGACCAGUGAGUAGUGGAGUGGACUCAGCGAGUUUGAGGGUAGACUCAGUAAUGGAGGGACUCGGCGAGUUGUUCAUACAACUCGGCGAGUCCAAGGCAAUCUUCUUAAGCUCAAGAACAACUCGUCGAGUUGUUCAUAUGACUCGGCGAGUCGGAUGAAGAUUGUCUGAGUUCUUGGAUCGAAUGAGUACUCGUCGAGUCGAUGCCAUACUCGACGAGUAGCAGCGAGUAGGGUCGAGGAGUGAGAAUAGGGACUCGGCGAGUUGGCGGCCCAACUCGGCGAGUCAGGUCAACUGUGGGUUGACUUUGACCGAGAGUUGACCUUGACCAACAGUUGACUUUGACCAAGGGUAAAAGAGUCAUUUUACCCAGUGCAGUGUUUAGUAUUUGAUUGAGUGUGUUUAUGGACUUGUAGCCGGGGAGAUACCGGAGCAGCAGCAGUUAGCCCUCAGAGCUAUUCACUCAGCAGCCAGUUCACGAGGUGAGUUUCCUUUCAGUAGGAACGGGUCUAAGGCCACAAUGCCGGCCCGUUUAGCUAGCAGUAGUAUCCGGAUUUUGAUCCGAUGCAGUAGUUAGCAUGUUUGAUGCCUUCGUGGCUCAGACAGGAUUAUGUGUGUUCAUGUUAAGUGAUACGUUUAUGUUAUGAUCAGUCAGCUUCGGACUUCGGUCCGAUGUCAGCUUCGGACUUCGGUUCGAUGUAGGGGACAAGGUCCCAGUCAGCUUCGGACUUCGGUCCGAUGUCAGCUUCGGACUUCGGUUCGAUGUAGGGGACAAGGUCCCAGUCAGCUUCGGACUUCGGUCCGAUGUCAGCUUCGGACUUCGGUCCGAUGGAGGGGACAAGGCCCCAGUCAGUUAGCUUCGGACUUCGGUCCGAUGUAGGGGACAAGGUCCCAGUCAGUCAGCUUCGGACUUCGGUCCGAUGGAGGGGGCAAGGCCCCAGUAUGUGCUUGAUAUGUUAUUGUAUGGUAUGUGGUAGUUUGGGGGAGCUCACUAAGCUUCGUGCUUACAGUUUCAGUUUUGGUUUCAGGUACUUCCGCAAGCAGAGGGAAGAGCUCGGGAUGAUGGCAUCGCACACACCACAGCUUCAGCUUUUAUCCUGGGAGUUGAUUUAGUUUUUGAUUUUUAUAUGACAUGGAUAUGAUACAGUUUUCCGCACAGUGUUUUAUUAUUAUUUUGAGAUACAUCAUGUAUGGUUUUAUGAUAUGACACUCAGAUUAUGGUUUUUGGUUAUGUUGAAAAACGAAAUUUUUGGGUCGUAUUUUUGGGUCGUUUCAAGUUGGUAUCAGAGCCCUGGUUUGAGGGAUUCGGAUACACUUCCGGGUGUAUCUGAACUCAAACUAAGGGGAAAUAAAAAGAUUUUUAAAAGGAAAAUGUUUUCUAAAAGAAUUUUGAAAGCACUUAGAAAGAAAGAAAUUUUUAAACAAGAUAAGGGUGUGGUGCAUGCGAUCAGCCGAGCUCAAGUAAGUACUCCCAAAUUACCCAUACAAGUUAUUUGUUCAGUUUCAGUUUCAGUAGAACAGCAUGCUAGUAUAGGACUAAGGAUCUAGGAGGAUGCCUUAUGUGCCUGCUUUAUGUGUUACAGCUUUAUGAGUAUUGCAUGCUAGUAUUGAGUAGACAGCAGUAGGAUAGCCUGUUUAGGUUAUGCCUGAUAGUAUGAGCUUAGCAUUGUAUGCUAGUACAGUUUCUCGUUAUGAGAAUAGUUUUGCCUGAGUAUGUUUCCUUUAUCCGAAUGCUGCUUGCUUCGUGCUUUGUGGGGUUCUGAGUGAUGGGAGUUAGCCAUUAGGUGAACACGUCACACCACAUGUGAUCAGGGUUGAAUAAUCCCAGAGUGCUGGAACUGGCCCUAUUGCGCAGCUCUUGUUUGAGUCCAACCGUUAUAGGGACGGGUCUUUUACUUGAAGGAUUAUCUGAUCUUCGUCACAUGUGAUGGUGUUCAGGUGGUGGUUAAUUAGCAUUAUAAGGAGACCUGCAGCAGCUGAGGACUAGUUGAGUUGAGUCUGAGGUUUCCCUGGGGCAAGCCUAGGAUGAGAGUAGCAGAGAUCAGUAGUAGUAGAAGUGACUUGGUGGAGUCAGGGCAGUUCUUGAAGAAAGUACGGAUAGAUGUGGAAGGUAGUAUGGGCCCGUACUACUGAAAGCAGAGGAUCCGUACUCGAAUCAAGAAAGGCUGAGACAAGACCAGGAAGCUAGUUGUAGUAUCAAUGAUCCCUUGAGAUAUUUCUGUUUUCUGAUGUAGUUGUGAUGUGUUUCAGAAUGGUGGUUUUGCGUUCGAGACCAGCAGCCGGCAGCGGAGGUGCCGGGGAGGGAUCAGGUUCAGGCUCGGGGGAUGAGCGCAUGGAUGAGCAGACCCGAGAGUUUCUUUCUUCGGAGAUUACGCGCAUCAUUAUAGAGCAGACUCCUGUGAUCUUCGGUUCGAUCAAGGAGGGGAUUCUAGAGCUGAUGGAUGAGAGAUUGGGCACCUUCCGUGCCGAGGUGGCGGCCAUGAUGGGGUCGCGCACCCUUACUUUCAGGGAGUUCAGGGCAUGUGGAGCUCCGGACUAUCAUGGGGCGCGAGACCCCAUAGCGAGCACCAGAUGGUUGGCGGAUGUGGCCAACGCUUUCCGUACUAGCAGAUGUCCCGAGGGGGACAAGGUCAGAUUGGCGUCCUGUCUUCUGAAGGACAGGGCACGAGAUUGGUGGGAGGAGGUCGGGCAUGCCAUUGGGGAUGAUGCAGCAUUGGACGCCAUGACCUGGGCUGAUUUCUCUACCAGGUUCAGGGCGGAGUUUGCACCGGUCAUUGAGGUGCAACAGCUAGCUAGGGAGUUUCAGGACCUCACCCAGACUACAGAGACAGUGGCGGAGAUCACCGCCAAGUUCAGGGAGAGGGCUCUUCUCGUUCCUCAGUAUGUAGCUGAUGAGGAAAUGAAGAAGGCCCGUUAUCAUGAGAUGUUGCGGAGCGAUAUCCGCCAGUUUGUGAGCCGGUCCAGCUGUAAAACGCUGGAAGAUAUGAUUGCUAGAGCUCGGGAGAGGGAGAUUGAUCUUGAGAUGGAGAAGAAGAGGAAACCAGAGGCGGUUUCGGGUUCAGGCAGUUCGGGCAAAAAGCCCAAGGUUUCGGAUCACAGAUCUAGGAGUCAGCAGAGCCACGGUCGAUGUGGCAAGUGUGGGAGAUUGCACGAGGGAGCGUGCAAGGCAGGGAGUUCCGGCUGCUACAAGUGCGGUCGGAUUGGGCAUUUGAGUAGGGAUUGUACGGCCCCUGCUACUGCCGUCGCAGCAUCAGAUCUGAUUUGCUUUCAGUGCAAUCAGAGGGGACAUAAAAAGUCCCAGUGUCCGAGUUUAGCUUCAGCAGGGAAGGUGGCUGCACCUGCCCCUGCUACCUUGAGGAUUACAGAUGGCCGGCAGGGCCGAGCUGAUGCGCCAGUGGCGAAGAGUAGGGCGUUUCAGAUGACAGCAGAGGAGGCGCGAGCGACUCCUGAUGUGGUGACGGGUAUGUAUCUUCCCUUUUAUCUCUUUAUUAUUAUUGAUUAAAUGUUGCUUAUGGUUGUAUGUUUUAUUCAGGGUCGUUCUCUGUGAACGGCAUUUCUGCUUUGGUAUUAUUCGAUUCGGGGGCUACCCGAUCAUUCGUAUCUCUUGCGCUUAGCAAGAGGUUCAGUAGAGCUCCAGGGGAGCUGGAUUGUCCAUUAGAGGUUGAGAUAGCGGAUGAUAGGACCGUGAGGGUCGGCAGAGUGCACAGAGGGUGUUCUCUUCAGUUAUUUGAUGAGCAGUUUUCAGUGGAUUUGGUACCUAUUCCCCUGCGAGGGAAUAAGGUUAUUGUGGGUAUGGAUUGGCUAAGCCCCAAUGGGGCGGUGAUUGAUUGCGAGCUUCAGUUAGUGAGGGUUCGCACUCCCAGUGGGGGAGAGUUGGUGAUUCAGGGCGAGAGGCCACAGCGAGGACCGACCUUUUGUUCCGCCGCAAGGGCGAGGCGCUAUGUUCAGCAGGGUUGCGCCGGUUUUGUAGCCUACGUUUUGGAUGCCCGGGAGAAGGGCAAGUCGACAGUGGAUGAUGUUCCUAUUGUUCGAGACUACCCGGAUGUGUUUCCUGAGGAUUUGCCGGGGAUACCUCCUGAGAGACAGGUCGAGUUCCGGAUCGACCUCGUCCCUGGUGCGGCUCCGAUAGCCAAGGCACCGUAUCGACUAGCUCCCCCUGAGAUGCAGGAGUUGUCUACACAGCUGCAGGAGCUGUUAGACAAGGGUUUCAUUCGGCCGAGCAGUUCGCCUUGGGGAGCGCCGAUCCUGUUUGUGAGAAAGAAGGAUGGGUCGCAUCGUAUGUGUAUUGAUUAUCGGGAGUUGAAUAAGGUAACGGUGAAGAACCGUUACCCACUCCCGAGGAUAGAUGAUUUGUUUGAUCAGCUUCAGGGAGCGUCUUGGUUCUCCAAGAUCGAUCUACGCUCCGGAUAUCAUCAGAUGCGGGUUAGAGAUGAGGAUGUGCAGAAGACUGCUUUCAGGACCAGGUAUGGUCAUUACGAGUUUGUGGUGAUGCCAUUUGGGCUCACCAAUGCCCCAGCCGCGUUCAUGGAUCUCAUGAACCGCGUGUGUAGGCCGAUGCUGGAUCGGUCAGUGAUAGUGUUCAUAGAUGACAUCUUGGUGUAUUCCAAGACGCAGGAGCAGCACGAGGAGCACCUGCGGGAGGUGCUGGAGGUUUUGAGGAGGGAGAGACUUUUCGCAAAGUUCUCCAAAUGUGAGUUCUGGUUGCGCGAGGUGCAGUUCCUUGGUCACCUCGUCAACCAGAAGGGUAUUCUGGUAGAUCCGGCCAAGAUAGAGGCCGUGAUGCAGUGGGAGGUCCCGAAGUCUCCAUCUGAGAUUCGGAGCUUCCUAGGGUUGGCAGGGUAUUAUCGGAGAUUUAUUCAGGAUUUCUCCAAGAUAGCAGUGCCGCUCACCCGACUGACCAAGAAGUCAGUGGUAUUUCGUUGGGGUCCGGAGCAGCAGACAGCAUUCGAGACCCUCAG